UAGGGAAUCUUCGGCAAUGGACGAAAGUCUGACCGAGCAACGCCGCGUGAGUGAAGAAGGUUUUCGGAUCGUAAAACUCUGUUGUUAGAGAAGAACAAGGAUGAGAGUAGAAUGUUCAUCCCUUGACGGUAUCUAACCAGAAAGCCACGGCUAACUACGUGCCAGCAGCCGCGGUAAUACGUAGGUGGCAAGCGUUGUCCGGAUUUAUUGGGCGUAAAGCGAGCGCAGGCGGUUUCUUAAGUCUGAUGUGAAAGCCCCCGGCUCACCGGGAGGGGUCAUGGUAACGAGGAACGUUAUGUGCAGAAGAGGAGAGUGGAAUUCCUAUGUGUAGCGGUGGAAAUAGCGUAGAUAUAUGGAGGAACACCAGUGGCGAAGGCGGCUCUCUGGUCGUGUAACUAGACGCUGAG
rnacentral:rRNA from 1 species